UGGGGAAUUGUUCACAAUGGGCGCAAGCCUGAUGACGCAACGCCGCGUGGGGGAUGGAGGUCUUCGGAUCGUAAACCCCUGUCGAAUGGGACGAAAGACUCGCGAGUGAAUACUUCGCGAGAGUGACGGUACCGUUAAAGGAAGCCACGGCUAACUCUGUGCCAGCAGCCGCGGUAAUACAGAGGUGGCAAGCGUUGUUCGGAUUUACUGGGCGUAAAGGGCGCGUAGGCGGCAAUUCAAGUCAUCUGUGAAAUCUCCGGGCUUAACUCGGAACGGUCAGAUGAUACUGCUUUGCUAGAGUGCAGAAGGGGCAAUCGGAAUUCUUGGUGUAGCGGUGAAAUGCGUAGAUAUCAAGAGGAACACCUGAGGUGAAGACGGGUUGCUGGGCUGACACUGACGCUGAGGCGCGAAAGCCAGGGGAGCAAACGGGAUUAGAUACCCACGUAGUCCCUGAGCGGGCUGGCAAGGCGCAU
rnacentral:rRNA from 1 species